rnacentral:rRNA from 1 species
CCUACGGGUGGCAGCAGUGAGGAAUAUUGGUCAAUGGGCGAGAGCCUGAACCAGCCAAGUCGCGUGAAGGAUGAAGGAUCUAUGGUUUGUAAACUUCUUUUAUAUGGGAAUAAAGUGAGGAACGUGUUCCUUUUUGUAUGUACCAUAUGAAUAAGCAUCGGCUAACUCCGUGCCAGCAGCCGCGGUAAUACGGAGGAUGCGAGCGUUAUCCGGAUGUAUUGGGUUUAAAGGGUGCGUAGGUGGUUAAUCAAGUCAGCGGUGAAAGGUUGUGGCUCAACCAUAAAAUUGCCGUUGAAACUGGUUGACUUGAGUAUAGUUGAGGUAAGCGGAAUGCGUGGUGUAGCGGUGAAAUGCGUAGAUAUCACGCAGAACACCGAUUGCGAAGGCAGAUUACUAAACGAUAACUGACACUGAGGCACGAAAGCGUGGGGAUCAAACAGGAUUAGAUACCCUAGUAGUC